GAUGAACGCUGGCGGCGUGCCUAAUACAUGCAAGUCGAGCGAACGGACGAGAAGCUUGCUUCUCUGAUGUUAGCGGCGGACGGGUGGGUAACACGUGGAUAACCUACCUAUAAGACUGGGAUAACUUCGGGAAACCGGAGCUAAUACCGGAUAAUAUUUUGAACCGCAUGGUUCAAAAGUGAAAGACGGUCUUGCUGUCACUUAUAGAUGGAUCCGCGCUGCAUUAGCUAGUUGGUAAGGUAACGGCUUACCAAGGCAACGAUGCAUAGCCGACCUGAGAGGGUGAUCGGCCACACUGGAACGUAGACACGGUCCAGACUCCUACGGGAGGCAGCAGUAGGGAAUCUUCCGCAAUGGGCGAAAGCCUGACGGAGCAACGCCGCGUGAGUGAUGAAGGUCUUCGGAUCGGAAAACUCUGUUAUUAGGGAAGAACAUAUGUGUAAGUAACUGUGCACAUCUUGACGGUACCUAAUCAGAAAGCCACGGCUAACUACGUG
rnacentral:rRNA from 1 species